GAUGAAGAACGCAGCGAAAUGCGAUACGUAAUGUGAAUUGCAGAUUUUAGUGAAUCAUCGAAUCUUUGAACGCACAUUGCGCCCGCCAGUAUUCUGGCGGGCAUGCCUGUUCGAGCGUCAUUACAACCCUCAAGCUCAGCUUGGUGUUGGGCCCCGCCGCCCCGGCGGGCCCUAAAGUCAGUGGCGGUGCCGUCCGGCUCCGAGCGUAGUAAUUCUUCUCGCUAUGGAGUCCUGGUGGAUGCUUGCCAUCAACCCCCAAUUUUUCUAUGGUUGACCUCGGAUCAGGUAGGGAUACCCGCUGAACUUAAGCAUAUCAAUAAGCGGAGGA
rnacentral:misc_RNA from 1 species